AUCAACUUAUUUGCAUCAUAAAAAAGAUAAUGAUGACGAUGACGGCGACGACAACGACAACGAAAGCCAAAGCAGCAAAUCAUUGAAAAUUGGACUAGGAAUAGCUUUAGGCAUUACAUCGAUUAUAGCAGUUAUUGCUUUGAUUUGCAUUUUAAUAUCCAG